GAAUUUUCCACAAUGGACGAAAGUCUGAUGGAGCAACGCCGCGUGCAGGAUGAAUGCCUUCGGGUUGUAAACUGCUUUUAUUUGUGAUGAAUAUGACAGUAGCAAAUGAAUAAGGGACGGCUAACUACGUUCCAGCAGCCGCGGUCAUACGUAGGUCCCAAGCGUUAUCCGGAAUUACUGGGCGUAAAGAGUUGCGUAGGCGGCUUGUUAAGCAAGGAGUGAAAUCGUACGGCUCAACCGUAUACACAUUCUUUGAACUGGCAAGCUAGAGUAUAUGAGAGGUCACUGGAAUUACUAGUGUAGGAGUGAAAUCCGUAGAUAUUAGUAGGAACACCGAUGGCGUAGGCAGGUGACUGGCAUAUUACUGACGCUAAGGCACGAAAGCGUGGGGAGCGAACCGG
rnacentral:rRNA from 1 species